CGCGGCCUAUCAGCUUGUUGGUGGGGUAACGGCCCACCAAGGCAUCGACGGGUAGCUGGUCUGAGAGGACGAUCUGCCACACUGGGACUGAGACACGGCCCAGACUCCUACGGGAGGCAGCAGUGGGGAAUAUUGCGCAAUGAGCGAAAGCCUGACGCAGCAACGCCGCGUGGGGGAUGACGGCCUUCGGGUUGUAAACCCCUUUCAGCAGGGACGAAAAUGACGGUACCGCAGAAGAAGCCCCGGCCAACUACGUGCCAGCAGCCGCGGUAACACGUAGGGGGCAAGCGUUGUCCGGAUUUAUUGGGCGUAAAGAGCUCGUAGGCGGUUGCGUAAGUCGGAUGUGAAAACUCAGGGCUCAACCCGGAGACGCCAUCCGAUACUGCGCUGACUAGAGUCCGGUAGAGGAGCAUGGAAUUCCUGGUGUAGCGGUGAAAUGCGCAGAUAUCAGGAGGAACACCAGUGGCAAAGGCGGUGCUCUGGGCCGGUACUGACGCUGAGGAGCGAAAGCGUGGGUAGCGAACAGGAUUAGAUACCCUGGUAGUCCACGCCGUAACGUUGGGCACUAGGUGUGGGGCCUCCUUAACGGGUUCCGUGCCGUAGCUAACGCAUUAAGUGCCCCGCCUGGGGAGUACGG
rnacentral:rRNA from 1 species